rnacentral:rRNA from 1 species
UGCAAGUCGAGCGGAUGAAGGGAGCUUGCUCCUGGAUUCAGCGGCGGACGGGUGAGUAAUGCCUAGGAAUCUGCCUGGUAGUGGGGGAUAACGUCCGGAAACGGGCGCUAAUACCGCAUACGUCCUGAGGGAGAAAGUGGGGGAUCUUCGGACCUCACGCUAUCAGAUGAGCCUAGGUCGGAUUAGCUAGUUGGUGGGGUAAAGGCCUACCAAGGCGACGAUCCGUAACUGGUCUGAGAGGAUGAUCAGUCACACUGGAACUGAGACACGGUCCAGACUCCUACGGGAGGCAGCAGUGGGGAAUAUUGGACAAUGGGCGAAAGCCUGAUCCAGCCAUGCCGCGUGUGUGAAGAAGGUCUUCGGAUUGUAAAGCACUUUAAGUUGGGAGGAAGGGCAGUAAGUUAAUACCUUGCUGUUUUGACGUUACCAACAGAAUAAGCACCGGCUAACUUCGUGCCAGCAGCCGCGGUAAUACGAAGGGUGCAAGCGUUAAUCGGAAUUACUGGGCGUAAAGCGCGCGUAGGUGGUUCAGCAAGUUGGAUGUGAAAUCCCCGGGCUCAACCUGGGAACUGCAUCCAAAACUACUGAGCUAGAGUACGGUAGAGGGUGGUGGAAUUUCCUGUG